UCAGUAACACUGUAGUCAACAUGCCCAGGGGACGUGGAUAACCUCGUGGAAACUGAGGAUAAACCUGCGAUAGGUCACUGCUUCUGGCAAUAGGGCAAUGACCCAGAACCUAACAUAGGCCCCUAGGAUUGGACUAGCGGCCGAUCAGGCUGUUGGUGAGGUAAUGGCCCACCAAACCUGUAACCGGUACGGGCUCUGAGAGGAGGAGCCCGGAGAUAGGGCACUGAGACAAGGGCCCAGGCCCUAUGGGGCGCAGCAGGCGCGAAACCUCUGCAAUAGGCGAAAGCUUGACAGGGUUACUCUGAGUGAUUUCCGUUACGGAGAUCUUCCGGCACCUCUAAACAUGGUGCAGAAUA
rnacentral:rRNA from 1 species